rnacentral:rRNA from 1 species
AGCGAACGCGGGCGGAAUGCUUAACACAUGCAAGUCGCACGCCCUGCAAGGGGAGUGGCGGACGGGUGAGUAACGCGUAGGAAUAUGUCCAGAGGUGGGGGACAACCCUGGGAAACUGGGGCUAAUACCGCAUAUGGGCUGAGGCCCAAAGCAGUGAUGCGCCUUUGGAGUAGCCUGCGUCCGAUUAGCUUGUUGGUGGGGUAAAGGCUUACCAAGGCGACGAUCGGUAGCUGGUCUGAGAGGACGACCAGCCACACUGGGACUGAGACACGGCCCAGACUCCUACGGGAGGCUGCAGUGGGGAAUAUUGGACAAUGGGCGCAAGCCUGAUCCAGCAAUUCCGCGUGGGUGAAGAAGGUCUUCGGAUUGUAAAGCCCUUUCGACGGGGACGAUGAUGACGGUACCCGUAGAAGAAGCCCCGGCUAACUUCGUGCCAGCCGCCGCAGUAA